UACGGGGGGAGCAAGCGUUGUUCGGAUUUACUGGGCGUAAAGGGCGCGUAGGCGGCCACCGCAAGUCGACUGUGAAAUCUCCGGGCUUAACCCGGAAAGGUCAGCCGAUACUGCGGGGCUAGAGUGCAGAAGGGGCAACUGGAAUUCUCGGUGUAGCGGUGAAAUGCGUAGAUAUCGAGAGGAACACCUGUGGCGAAGGCGGGUUGCUGGGCUGACACUGACGCUGAGGCGCGAAAGCUAGGGGAGCGAACGGG
rnacentral:rRNA from 1 species